GUCUCAAAGAUUAAGCCAUGCAUGUCUCAGUAUAAGUUUAUACACGGCGAAACUGCGAAAGGCUCAUUAAAACAGUUAUAGUUUAUUUGAUGAUCAACCCUCUACUUGGAUACCCGUAGUAAUUAUAGAGCUAAUACAUGCAUCAAUGCCCACCUUUCCGGGGGGUAGUGUUUAUUAGAUACAAGACCGAACCAAGCUUCGCUUGGCCUUUUGGUGAUUCAGAAUAACCGUACGAAGCGCAUGGAUCUUCCGGCGCUAGAUCAUUCAAGUUUCUGACCUAUCAGCUUCCGACGGUAGGGUAUUGGCCUACCGUGGCAUUGACGGGUAACGGAGAAUUAGGGUUCGAUUCCGGAGAGGGAGCCUGAGAAACGGCUACCACAUCUAAGGAAGGCAGCAGGCGCGCAAAUUACCCAAUUCUGACACAGGGAGGUAGUGACAAGAAAUAACAACGCAGGGCAUUAAUGUCUUGCGCUUGGAAUGAGUUAAAUUUAAACCCCUUUACGAGUAACAAUUGGAGGGCAAGUCUGGUG
rnacentral:rRNA from 1 species